AGUAAAAUGCCUGAGUAAAGGGUUAUCUUGAUAGGAUAAAUAAUGUAUUUUUAUACUUUUACUA
rnacentral:tRNA from 1 species